CGUACUUACAUCUCAAAAUUGAUGGCAUUGCUAUGUUCAGUACAACUUGCUGUAUUUUAUUUAUUUUCUUCCUAAAUUUAGGUUUCUAAGAUCCUAAAGCAAAGCAAAAGCCUAAAAUGUGGAAUUUAACUCUCUGCUCCUUUACUGUUUGGAUGAGAGACUGCUAUUCUUUACUGGCCAAUCAUGUCAAACCAAGGGCUGUGAGCCAAGAGGAAAUACUGGCCCCAGUCCAGUUCAGGUUUUCAAAGCCGGGGCGUGAACACCAAGUUUCUGGAGAACGUGGGUCAUCCACUAAGAUAAUGGCUGCCUGAAGUAGCAACUGAUUCACUAGGGAAAGAAUGCAAUUCCUCUUGUCAGUGCUGAUAGGACAGAUAAGUACUAGAUGUACAGAGCUAUCUUGCUACAACGGUAGGUUUUAUAGCAUACUUUAAAAUAAGAGAUCUUGCCACUAACAGAGUGACUCAGGGCUCCACCCCUUUGCAGCUGACACAGUCUGUGGAGCCAGAAUGCUCCCCUAUUGCCUGUUUGAUCGUACACUGAAAGCAAGAGACAUAAGGCAAGCACAUCAGCAGGCAUGGGGGUCUUUUUUGGAAAUUCACUGGGAGAAAAGAGACAUUUAUAAGAAAACCAGCUUUGCCCGGAAUUGACCUCUCAGGAGAAUUCUUGCCACAACCUUCUCUUCCUACUCAGCAAAGAAAAUAUCCAGAAAAGAGCUUGGGAUGCUUCUGGCCUCAGUCAAAGUCUAAUGAAGACAGCCCUGAGUGAUCAGCUGUGAACAGGUAACAUCCCGCUGUCUCCUGAGCUCCCUGGAGUACCUGGGAUGCUCACAGUGGUUUAAAUAAAAGCAUGCUACAGAAGCCACUGAAUUGAGCACAUUAAGACAAGAAGGUGACAUCCCCACGGUCAGAAUUAUUGUCUGUUUUUGGCUUCUGUACUAUGUCAGAAGCCAAAAACAGACAAUAAUUUGGGGGCACAUGGUAGGGAACCUAGAUAACUAUUCUCCAACAGUUCAACUGGUUGUCCAUCCCUUCUUGCUUGCUUCAUGUGCUGCUUUGGCGUUACACAAUAGUUUCUUCCCAGUGUCCGCCUUCUCAGGUCAUGGCCUGAUUACAAUCACAUGCAAAGGAGGCUGCAGCAGCUUCAGAGGAGUUCCCUGUGGCAGCAGUUCCCAGCUCACCCUGUCAAAGUUGGGAUCGGCGUCCCCUAGCUUCAUCCACUUGUGCUUGCAGAUCUGCUCCAUGGAGAGGCGCUUAUUGGGGUCUAACACCAGCAUAUGGCGGAUCAAAUGCUCACAUUCUGCAAUGGACAAACAGCCUGCCUUCAGUUUCUGGUGAGCGGAGGCACCAGGGGAGCAGAGGAACCAGGGGCAAAGUCAGCAGGGAGGCUCUCCAAAUCCCUGCUUCUCAUUUUGUCUCUUGCUCUGUUAUUCUGUUGCUUACUCCACCAGAAGGGGCUAGGCAAAGGCAGAGAGAGGUGGAGAAAAAGAAACUCGAAUGUGGUAGUCUGGUUAGUGCCUUCACCAAAAGUCUGACCAGAAAAGGUAUGGGGAUAAUCCAUGGAUUUCAUUUAUUUCUAUUAACACACUUAACACAACUAAGGAAGAAUAGAAUGGCCUCUAAAGAGAUUCAGCAUCUUACAAGGUUCUCAAAAUACUCAGCUCUAUCCUCCUAAAUGUACCACCAUGUGCAUACUAAUGCUUUUGGCUUAGGAGUGCAAUACUCUUCUUCAAAACUCAGGGAAUUUGAAUUUCUGAUGGCACAAGGUGUGUGGGGAAAGAGCCACAAGUGACUUCUUUCCCAUGCCCUGGGAUUCAGCUAGUCUUAUUUAUCAUUUUCUCAAUGUUAUUUAAACAGUCACAGGUAUGUAAAACUGAGCUGUGAGCUACAGAUAUUCAGAUCAACAAAAAUUUUUCUCUGGGAGCUCACAUUAUGGAUUAUAUUGUAGAAAGAACAAUGGAUUCCCAAUCAAGAAACCUGUAUUCUGAUUUCAAAAACUACCAUCUAUUUCUAAGUUUUCUCAUCUAUAAAUCGUGGGUACUGAGGGUGAUGUGGGAGUAAUAGUUGUGAUGAGGGCAGUGAUGAUGAUACCAAAACAGCAGUAUUAAUGCAGCUUCCGAGCAUUUUACAAUUAUUAUUUCCUCAUUUAAUCUACACAGCAAUCCUAGGAGGGAACGUACUAUCAUUAUUCCCAUUUUAGGAAUAGCAAAAGCUAGGCACAGAAAGGUAAAAAGACUUGUCCAAGGUCACAUGGCUAGUAAGUCAGAUUUCAAACCAGAGAGCCUGACUCUUCACCUGGUACUCUUAAUUACAAUGGUCCACUGCCCCUGUAGUGCACAGAGUUGUUGAGGGUUCCAAAUUCUCCAACAUUAAUUCAACAUUGAACCAGUAAUUCAACAUCUUUAUCCAUGCCACCUUCAUCUCUGGCUUAUACCACUGCAAGUCUCCUACCUGGUCUUUCUGCUUCCAUUUUCACUCCAUUACAAUCUAUUUUCCAUAGAGAGGCAAAAGGAAUGUUUCCAAAGCAUGUAUUUGGGCAUAUCACCACUUUGUCUAUAUUUCUCCAACCUCUUCCCAUAACUCUCAGAAUGAAAUCCAAAGUCCUGGGCCUACAAGGCCGCUACUUUUUCUCUUUUGACAGUCGUUUCUGUCACCCAGAUUGGAGUGCAGUGGCAUGAUCUCAGCCUACUGCAGUCUUUGCCUCUUGGGUUCAAGUGAUUCUCCUGCCUCAGCUCAGCCUCCUGAGUAGCUGGGAUUACAGGCAUGCGCCACCAUGCCUGGAUAAUUUUGUAUUUUUAGUAGAGACGAGAUUUCUCCAUGUUGGUCAGGCUCAUCUCAGACUUCUGACCUCAGGUGAUCCGCCUGCCUCGAUCGACCUCCCGAAGUGCUGGGAUUACAGGCGUGAGCCACCGGGGCCUGGCCUAGUUUCCUCUAAUUUUAAAAGAUACUACAACAAAGUUCCUAUAUCAAGAUGAUCUCUUACAUCAGGCAUUAAUUUGUUGUUGCUUUAUAAUUAAAAGUAUAUUCAAAUGUAUGUACAUCUGAAAAACUUCCACAUUCUUACAGAAUAAAGUAAAUGUCAUCUACAAUAUUAAGCUUGAUUAAAAUUAUGUUUCCAGAGUAGUAAGGCUACAGCCACAACUGCAGCAGCCCCUGUACAGAUUAUAACUGUCACUGACACACGUUUAUGGUCUGCAGUUACUUAAGAGGAAAAAAGUGUUCUUAAUUUAGGAAGUUGCUGAAGACUUUUGUGUAGGGAGAAGCCUGGGACCAAGCUGUUGUUAAGACCUCUAGAUGGCAGUCUCCUGUCUUCCUUUGGUUUCCACAGGCAGUUUUAGUGCAUAAAUAAGAUGACCAAAGCUGAACGGUUUUCAGUUACAGGCUUGCUUUAGAACAGAUUUUUUGUCAAGGCAAUUUCUUUAAAAGAAAGCAAACAAACAACCAAAACCAAAACCAAAACAAAACACUACCAUAAUAGUUCCGAAUCAGAAGAUAUAUCCAGUUCAAUUUCAGGAUCUUGAACCCUCUAUCUGAUCAUCCUUAACCACUGUCUGGCUUCAGGUGAUUGAAAACCAAGGGUGUCCUAAGAAGCUUGCUGCAAAUCCCCCAGAUGUCUGCAGACCCCAGAUGAAGAACUCCUGGUUACAGUGUCAAGAGCAAGAGCUUUUUAAUCUUGUCCAUCCUACAUAAUAUCCAAUGUGCCAAGGAACAGAAAUCUAACGUUUUUCAUAUGUGGCACAGAUGGAAAAGAUGAGAAAAUGCAGAAAGCUAGAGUAUCACCAUCAACUCAUAUUUCCUAAGUGUCACGUCGUUCAUGAAAUUAAAUUCAGAUGAGAUUUGAAGACACCAUUCUACAUAAAAUGUGAAAACAGGGUGAAAAUGAAGGGAAUAAAUGCUCUCAAACCUAAGAACACAAUCUUAAUUUACAGUAGCUUUGUUUUUGUUUUUUUUGUUUUUUUUUUUUUUAAAAAGAACACAAUCGCCAACAGGACAUUCAAUUUACAGGUGCGGAAAGAUAGAGCCCUCGUGUCAAAUAAAACAUCAACUUUUCCAGAUGCCAAGAAGUACUUUAUUUUAUUGUCUAAAAGGGCCCUAUUGGCCAGCCAUGGUGGCUCAUGUCUACAAUCCCAGCACUUUGGGAGGCUGAGGUGGGCAGAUUGCUUGAAGGCAGAAAUUUGAGACAAGCCUGGCCAACAUGGCAAAACCCUGUCUCUACUGAAAAUGCAAAAAUUAGCUGGGUGCAGUGGUGCACGCCUGUAAUCCCAGCUACUUAAGACGCUGAGGUACAAGAAUUGCUUGAACCCAGGAAGCAGAGAUUGCAGUGAGCCAAGAUGGUGCCACACCAGCUUAGAUGACAGAGCAAGACUAUGUCUCAAAAACAAAAAAUAAAAGGGCCCCAUUAUUUGUUCCCUCCCAAAAGGCAGAGCCUCUGAUGCUAAAUGAAACUGAACCACUUUGGGCAAUGCAGGAAUACGUUGCUCUGCUUGUGUGUGCCAGAAAAGCAGCUUCCCUUCAGAGCUGCUUUCAUCUGCUCCAUGCAAGACGCCAAGCAGUCUCCGCGGUGAGAGUCACUGUGGGCCCAUGAAACCUGAUCUGCCAAGAGAAUGUUAACUAGAGGAUGUGCAGCACAAGCCUUGCCCCGCUGCGCUGCCAGGCAUCUGGAUGACUUUGUGGAGCGAGAGCUGCUGGAUGGGCAGCGUUCUAAAAUAGGAAGACCUUUAAGUUGAGAUUGCCAGAGUGAGUCCAUAUCUGAGAAGGCAACAUUUUUUUUUCUUUUUUUGCCCUCGAUAAUAAAUUUCUCUAAGUGGUUACAACAAACCAAAACAAGUCUUGGCAGAUAAGUCUUUUCCAUGAGCCCUGUGGAUUUGACUGAAAGUAUUAAUGUCCCUUUGGCAUAUUGAGAGGGCAAAAAUGAGAGAAAGAUACAUAGAAAAGAGUAAGAUUAAUACAGCAAUUCAUUCAACAUUAUUAUUUAAUAAUUACUAAAAUUUAUUGAGCAUUUAUAGGCAAAGUGCUAAACCCUUUAAGUCAAUUUAAGCAUCUGCAUCUCACACCACCCCUGUUACUAUUAUCUCAAUUUUAUAGAUAAAGAAAUUUAAAAUAGAGAAGUUGAGAAAUUUGACCAGAUAAUAAGGGGCCAAAGCAGGAUACAAAUUCUGGUCAGUUUUACUCCAAGGAGUUCUUAACCUAUAUGGUCCCUAAAGUAAACACAUUAUUGGUAUUCUAGGCUAUGAAAACAAACCAAAACAAUUCUCUCCCUGACACAUCAAAUGCCAUGUCAUCACAGGUUCCAUCAUGACAGAAUCAUCCACAAGUGAGGUUAGUACGAAAUGGGCCAGGCAAAUUGAUGGCCAAAGACUAAGAACUAGCUGGAAAACAGCUUUAAGGGGAGAUGGCAAAUUGAUGGAUUGAUGAGGCAGGGACCGAAGAACAUCUAAGCAGGGAGCGUUGUCUUAUUAAUAAUUUUGCUGCUGAGGAUUAAAUACACUGUGGCAGAGCAAACUUAUUUGUAUACUCUGUAAAAACACAAGGUGAUGAAGACUAUGAUAGAAGGCUCGAAACAACAGGCUUCAAAGAUCAAAGAUAAGAAGAGAUAGGUAAAAAUUUGGGGAACCAGAUCAUCAGACUCUUCAGGCUGAUCCUGUGAAGGAGGGAAAGCCAACUGUCCCUGACACCCUGCAUGUGACACCAAAGAACAGAACACAGCAAAACAAUCCUUUCCAGCUCUGUGGUGAGUAAUGGCAUAGAAGAAACUGAGUCAUGGAUUCUUUCUGGCCACAUAAAGCUGCUUUGAACUGGUAGAAACAGAAGACAUCUGUGAGCCAGAAGGCAUGGGAAGGCAUUCUUGUAAGGAAGAAAGUGCAUGCUUCUUACAGGUGCUCCCAAGAAGGGGAUGGUCUAGUUUCUCAUGUACUUGGUCCAGUCAGUGGUGGGUGUGUUCAAAGGUAAUUUCAAAGCACUUAGCCCAAGAGUUCUACAUUUUCAACAAUUUGAACAAACUUCUCAAUAAUCUUUACUUCUUAGUAAUGAAUUGCUUGUAGUGCAAUUCUGACUUCAAAGAGGGUUCUAUUUUUUCUAAAUCUCAAACUCUAAAAAGGGAACAAAAAUAAACCGGCUAUUAAAUCUCUGAAACAUGUUUCUAUGGAAAAUUAUUUGACAAAAACCUUUUAAAAGUUAAAUGACAUUAAAGUCUUUUUUGUUUGUUUUGUUUUUGUUUUUUGAGACGGAUUCUUGUUCUGUCGCCCAGCUGGAGUGCAGUGGCUUGAUCUUGGCUCAUUGCAACCUCUGCCUCAAGCAAUCCUCCUCCCUCAGCCUCUCGAGUAGCUGGGAUGCAGGCACGCGCCACCAUGCCCAGCUAAUUUUCUGCAUUUUUAGUAGAGACAGGGUGUCACCAUGUUGGCCAAGAUGGUCUCGAUCUCUUGACCUCAUGAUCCGCCCGCCUCAGCCUCCCAAAGUGCUGGGAUUACAGGCGCGAGCCACAGCACCCGGCCAAUGACAUAAAGUCUUAAAGUUUUUAGAACAAGGAUACUAUGCGAUACACUGCCUGAUGCUGUUACCCACUCACUCUGUCCAGCUCAGGUACCAGCCUGGGGGAGAAGUGAUGCUAUUAGAGCAAACAGAAUAAGACCAAGGGAUGGCUGCAACGGCAAUCUCAGGGUGGAGCCACAUGCUCUGAGAAGAGGCUAUCCCCAUAUUUUAGAUGUUCUGGAUUUAACAAAUGUUUGUGACUCAGAGUGCCUCUUUAAUGCUGCCUGCCUUUUCCUAAAAGAAAAACUGCACACAAAACAUGCUGUUUUUCCUCAUGAAAAGAAAAUAAAGUCUGUUAUAAUGUCCUGAUCUCAUUAUAACACGGACGGAACAGUGUGACUAUUUUGCAAUGCUAUAUUCCUUGCAGAAAUAAGUAAAAAGUAAAUCAAUAAGAAACCAGGGGUGUUUUUUUGCCAAGAUACCUUCUUUUGAUUAGAAGCCGGCUAGAGUUAGGAAUCUUCACUCUGCUUGUGAACUAAGCCCUAAAAAUGAUGUUUUAUUAAUAUGCUCGAGAAAUCUUGUCAAAAAUGUCAACUUCUAGCUAAGGUCAAACUUACUGAUUUUAUAUAAUCACUAUUUUAAAAUCUAAACAAAAAGACAAAUAGUCCUCAAAAUAAGACAUUUGGGCCUGGCACGGUGGCUCAUGCCUGUAAUCCCAGCACUUUGAGAGGCCAAGGCAGGAAGAUCACUUGAGGCCAGGAGUUCAAGACAAGCCUGGCCAACAUGGUGAAACGCAAUCUCUACUAAAAAUACAAAAAUUAGCCAGGCAUGGUGGUAUGUAUGUGUGUAAUCCCAGCUACUCAAGAGGCUGAGGCAGGAGAAUCACUUGACACUGGGAGGUGGAGGUUGUAGUGAGCCAAGAUCAUGCCAUUGCACUCCAGCCUGGACGACAGAGCGAGACUCUGUCUGAAAAAAGAAAAAGGUGACAUUUCUAUGUAUAAAUAACAUAUACUAAAUGCGCUAACCUAUAGAUACAUUCAGAGAUUGUAUAAAUGUUAACUAUAAUAAUACAAAAUGCAGGGGGUUUGUUGUUGCACUAAAAUUUUGUUAUUUUGGAUAUUGCUAGAACAAUGGUGUUGUAAGGAUUGGAAUGCUUUUAUUCUAUACAUUAAAUUUUGACACAUUACUGCUAUAAUAGAAAUAAACAUCUCUAAAUACCAAGUUAAAGAACUGGUUAUUUAUUUUUAAAUUAUUUUGAGAUGGAGUCUCGUUCUGUUGGCCAGGCUGGGUGCAGUGGUACAACCAUAGUUCACUGCAGCCUCGAACUCCUGGGCUCAAGUGAUCCUCCUGCCUCAGCUUCUCAGUAGCUGGAACUACAGACAUGCACCACCACAUCUAGCUAUUUUUUAUUUUUAUUUUUUAGAGACAGGGUCUCACUAUGUUGCCCAGGCUGGCUGCCUUGAUCUCCUGGCCUCAAGCAAUCUGUUGGGAUUACAGGUGCAUGCCACCAUACCCAAAAAGGAUGCAGUCAAUGCCACAGUUUUACAUAAACAAAGAAAAUGCACAACCUUGGAACUUAAUAUAUGACCGUAUUGACUGUAGUAAGAUCUGACUCAUAAAACAUAAGCACCGAGAUGAGCUUCUCUUGACACAAUGGCACUAAGAAAAAACUGUCAUGUUCUGAGUCAUUGACUUUCUGUUGUUGUGGGGAAGAAAAAUGGAAGUCCCACACGUCAGUAAAAUUUCAAAAACAAUAUUCCAACAGUAAGAGAUCAGAAAAGAAAGUGGAGAAUUAUCCAUUUAACUAUAAAUUCCAACCCUAGUGGUUUCUGCAAAUUAUUAUAAUCAGAAUAUGCUGGAAUAGAAAUAAUUCUUUUCAUCUCUAAAUUCUGUGAGACACUUCCAGUGACUGAACAUAGAGGCCAUAGGGAGAUGGCUUGGAACAAUUUAGCAAAUGGACACGGAGCCCAUAAGAAAAAUUUCUAUUUGGAACCAGUACAUCUGGGCUGAGAGGCUUUUUUCUUCAGUUUUAACAAGUUUAUCAACCCAAGACAGACCACGAAGAAAAAGUUUUGACCGUAUAUAUUCAUUUAUUAGAAAAAUAACACUUGAACUUCCUUACUUUCAAUCAGUUUUUCUAGGUGGGCAUGAUGCUGCCAGAAUUAAAAUUCAGAAAUAGAAAAUCCUGGCCUAAAGGGUACGGAUGCCAACAUUUAGCUCUAGUCCAACCUUGAAAAAGCCCUGGCUUGCUAUACCGCUUUACAGAAGCUGUCCAUUUUGUGGUUCACAUUCAAGUAUCUUUUGAGUUCUAGUGUCAGCCACUAUGGUGUAAGAAACUCCUGCCUCCGGGUCCAGUACAGAGUUCCUGCUACUCGUUUUUCAGUAAGUAAUCCAGAUGCAGACAAAUAUAUCCAUUCCAGGACUCUCUUGAUCCUUGGGGUAACUUACCAAAUAUGUUACUGGGAAUGAAAAUACAAACACAUAUGGUUAGAUGGUCUCUGAAGUCAGACUGCCAGGGUUCAAAUCUCAGCUUUGCAACUUACUAGAUGUGUGUCUUGGGCAUGUUAUUUAACCUCACCCAUGCCUCAGUUUUCUUAUUUAUCAAAUAAUCUCUUAUACAGUCUACCUCACAAAACAGCUCACCUCAGACAGUUGUUUUGAACAUGAAAUAGGUCAUACAACAGUGCCUGGUAUGUAGAAAGUGGUCAAUAAAUGCUAUUAUCCAAAUCUCUGGAGUCCUUCCGCUUGGAAUGUCCUCCUUUUAUUUUUCUACUUAGGAUUGCCAUAAGCCAGGAGAUAGUUGGGUUGAAAAAGGCUAAUAAUAAAUAGGGCAGUACCAAUGUUUAUCUACUGGUUUUUAGUUAUGUUAGGUCAAAUCAUGGAAAUGAACACGGCUGGCCUGUUUCUCUCUGAAGAAGUUCUAACCUCUUUUCUGACAUCGGUUGUGAUUUCUACAUUCACUGGCAUGAAAGCACUACAUAGAUUUUUCUCUCUGGUGGUGUAGUAUGUCUCAAAAGGUAGGAGAAAACUGCUUUGAGGACUCUCAGCUCCUCAAUAUAUGGCGAUUGGUAGGUGGUGAGCCCAUGUAAUCCCUUGCCCCAUUCAUUCUAAACAAAGUGCUUUUAGCCAAGCAAGAUGCUGUGUGGUUCUUGAUGAGUAAGCCAGUCAGGGCAGAGUUGUUUGCCUCUAAGUAGAAGCUUUUUGGCAGUAGCUGCAGGGUACAUUCUCCAUCAGAAGCAUUAUGUAAGCCUGGGUCUUGCAUUCCCAGUGAUAAAAUGCUCAUGCAGUAUUACAAUUAAUUAAGUCACAAUGAAGUCUAAUCAAUAAAGACUAAAAAAUAUUGUCCACAGGAGAUCUCUAUCCACUCACCAACACUGCAGUUUGUUCACUGUCAAUUAAUUUUCCUUCAGUUAAAUAAACCAUCUUAGUAUGUCUGUAGCAGGUGGUACACAGGAGAAUCUGGUAAACUAGGCUGUAAGUAUGUUUCUGAUGGUUAAAAAAAAGAUACAUUGAAUGAGUCUGGUGCUCAAAAAAUUUAAGUUACUGGCAUCCAUAGGUGGGAGUGGCGGUCAGGGGAAACAUCUGCCAACACAUGAAGCCAGGUCAGGUUUCACCUUCCACAACAGAUCAAGAAAACAGCAAGUUUCAAUUUUUAAUCCUUCUAUAAUUUAGACUCAGGGUUUUAUCAAACUGAUCUUUGGGAUGCUAUGUGAAGUUUAAUCCAAAAACACGGGCCUGGAUCAAACUUAUUUUACUUGAGGCAUAGAAAACAAACUCUGUAAUAGAUCAAAACACCUUUUUACACCUAAAAGUCAUUUGCCUUGGUCACCUUCAUAAUAACCCAUAUAACAAAAGUACAUAAAACCAUGGCUGGGCAUGGUGGCUCACGCCUAUGAUCCCAAGCAUUUUGGGAGACUAAGGCAGGCAGAUUGCUUGAACCAAGGAGUUCAAGACCAGCCUGGGAAACAUAAUGAAACUCUAUCUCUACAUUUUAAAAAAAAAAAAAAAGCAUAUAAAACCAAGUGGUGUGAUGAGUAAUUUAGAUCAUGUUAACAAUAUAGUACAAGAGUCUGAGCAGGGUGUGGUGGCUCAUGCCAGGUGUGGUGGCAUGUACCUGUAGUCCCAGCUAUUCGGGAGGCUGAGGCAAGAGCCCCGGAGACAGAAGUUGCAGUGAGCUGAGACUGCCCCGCUACACUCCAGCCUGGGCAAAAAAUAAUCUAUUAAAAAAAAAAUACAAGAGUCUGAUAUAAGAUUCCAUAGUUAAGUAGUACUGAGUUAGUUUUUUAUUACAAAACACUUACUGAAUGUGAGUGUUUAUGCCCUACCAGGGGCUGUUAGGUUUUAUGGAAGAUACUGAUGUGGAAAACACAGUUCAAGAGGCUUACAUUCUAGUGGGGAAAGGAGGAAGAAGACAUAUAUACAUAAUUAUAAAAACCAGGUGGUAUAAAAUCAAUCAAGCCUCAAAUACAUCCUCAAAUUAAUCCUCUUUUAAAUGUAUAUCACUGUCAUUCCAACUUGAAAAUAUAUGUCUUUGUUAUGUCUCAGGAUGCCUAUGAAAGGAAACUUGUAUCAAACAAACCAGACCAGGCAUAGAAAUAUCCACUAAUUGUGAGGAAAAUUCAUUCCACACAUUACUGACAAUAGAGAGCAGCUUAGAAUUCUUGAGCUGACUAUAUCUGUUUGCAGAGCAUGGCCUCCCACACAGCUGUAUGUAGCUACUCUGGAAUUCAAGUUGGCUAGAAGCAGCUAAAUGGUAGGGCUCUUGCCUGCUUGUCUUCCACUAUACCAGCUCUGCUGGAGUUUCUAGAUCCUUCAGGAAGAAAAACAGAUAAACUCAGCUCAAGCCUAUGACAACAGCUGAGAAAAGGAAGGAUCUUGUGCUUAAGGACUUCCCCUCAACCACACUAUCUCCUGUAACACAGCAAUAGCAGUUGGCCUGACAGGCUGAAAAGCAGCUGGCACUUGCCUCCAUCAGAAGACUAUGCUCCAGGUCUACUGAGAUACAGCUGUGCCCAGAAACAGGAGGUACAGCAGAAAAAGGACUCCAGGACAGACUCUAAACUUCCUUCACAUGAACUUGACACUUCUUGAAGGUUGUCAGCAAGCCAAGCCAAAACAACCGAUGAAUGUAUUUUCUGCUAUGCCUUGUCCUUUCGAAGUAUUCUCUGAAAGGUCGUGGGAUUUAGGCCUAUGACAUUCGGCAAUGCCAAGCACAUGCAUGUUACCAAGGGCCAGAGAGAUCAUGUUGGUAAUAUAGCAAUUAUCCACUCAUUUCCUACCCUGGCUGUUUCUCAUUUUCUGUACUAAUCUAACAAACACUUCUACUCAGGGAAUUACUGAACUGGGAUUAAAGAGUGACUAGGUUUGGGAUAAUCCUGUUGGCUUUCUCUGAGUCUUGAAGCUUUCAGGUUAACUUACAUCAUAUUACAAAUGUGAGUUCUAAGCAGUUAGACUGCAGUUUAUUUCCAAGCACUAACAGACAAUGUGGCUAACAGCAUGCUUAGCUGCUUUCCAGGACCCCCUAUCUGAAGUCAGCUCUGGGAAGGGUUCAGUAAGAAUCUCUUGCCUUGGUGUGAGGUGGCGGGGGUGGAGGGUAGAAGAGAUCCAAGUUGCUCACAGGAAACACUGUGGACAUUGGAAAAGUAAAGGAAGUGGUUUGUUUAUCUUGCUCUUUUUGUGACAGUAUGGUGCAGUAGAACAAACAGUGAAUUUGAAUACUGACUGAAUUACUUAUUACCAGUGUGGCUUUGGCAAAUUAAUUUCUCUAAACUUCAGCUUCCAAAACUUCAUCAGCAAGAUGAAAAGAUAUGUACUAUUACCAAUUCUAAGAUGUAGCUCAAAUUAGAUUAAGGAAAAGAAAAUAAUUUAGGCUGCAUAUGCUGGCUUCUGCCCGUAAUCCCAGCACUUUGAGAGCCAAGGUGGGAGGAUUGCUUGAGACCAAGAGUUCAAGAUCAGACUGGGCAAUGUAGUGAGACUCAUCUCUCUGAAAAAUCUUUUUAAAAAUUAGCUUGGCACAGUGGCAUAGGCCUGUAGUCCUAGCUACUUGGGAGCCUGAAGUAGGAGGACUGUUUGAACCCAGGAGUUUGAGGCUGCAGUGAGCUAUGGUCACACCACUAGGCUCCAGCAUAGGUGACAGAACAAGACCUUGUUGCUAACAAUAUAAAAAUUGAAAUAUUUUAAAAAAAGAUAUACUGGCUGGGUGUAGUGGUUCCCACCUGUAAUACCAGAACUUUGGGAGGCCAAGGUGGGUGGACUACUUGAGUCCAGGAGUUCAAGACCAGCCUGGGCAACAUAACAAGACCCUGUCUCUACAAAAAUUAGCUGGGCAUGGUGGCAUGUGCCUGUAGUCCAAGCUACUCAGGAGGCUGAGAUGGGAGGAUGGCUAGAGCCUGGGAGGCGGAGGUUGCAGUGAGCCAUGAUCUUGCCACUGCACUCCAGCCUGGGCAACAGAGUGAGAUCCUGUCUCAGAAAAAAAAAAAAUUAAAAAAAGAAAUUAUUUUAUAAUCUCAAAAGCCCUAAACAAAUGUAAUUUUUUGAUAUUACUACUGAUAUUAUGAUUUGGAUAAGACUAUACUCUCUAGAGGGGAUUCUGGAGUCAGCAUUUUAACAACCCUAUGCAUUCAUUCAUCCAUUCAACAAAUAUUUACUGAGUGCCUACUAGAACCCAGGCACUGUCCAAAGCCCUGGGAACACAGCAGUAAACAAAAACCAAACGCUUAUUAUGGUCAAGUGGUGAUGGGAGAUGAGGAGGUACCAAAGUCAUGUGAGGUAGUGCUAAGUGCCAUGAAGAAAAAGCAGAAUUACAGAAACAGAAUGAGGGGGGAGCCAGAACAGGCCCCUCUGAGGGGACCUGUGACUACACAAGGGAACCAGAAUGUAUGUGCUUGGCAAGUCUGAGAAACAGCAAGGAAGGCCCUGUGAAAAUGGGAGCUCAGAAGUGGAGGUAAACAGUAACAGGAAAUGAGAUCAAGGAAGGGGCAACGACAGCUGUGCCUUGUAGGCCAUAAUAAUAAUAACAACUUGAAUUUUAUUCUAGAUGUAAAUGAAAGCCACUGGGGCUGGGGAGGUUUUCAGAUUUAAUAUUUACUAAGUCCUACUACACACCAGAUCCUAUGCUAGCUUACAGACUGUUGUGAAAAAGACAUCUUUCGUCUGUGCUUUCACUAACUUCAGUCUGGCGUGGAAGACAUACAAUGAAAGAAGUAAUUGCAACAUAAAGCUUGGUAAGUGACAUGAUAAGAGAAAGUUCAGAGACAAGAAGAGUGAAUAGAAAUUAUCUAGAUUCUUAUUUCUAUCCUAUCUAAUUUUUUAAUUCUAAAUUCUAAAAUACAGGAGUGGGUGGAGUGGGGUGGGAUAAGGAAGAUGUAUUCUCGGCAGUGGGAAAUGCUCCAGAAAACAGCAGGGAACUAGAAGAAAACCAGGGGGACUGGUGGGAGAAGGGAAGCUAUGGCUGAAGAGAUAGGCAGGAGUUGGGCUUUAAAGGUAUUUCUAUGUCAUUGUUUAUGAAAUAGCAGACAGGAGAUCAAGUUAUUAAGUUGAAAUCAGUGUUUUUUUAAAUGGAAUAGAAUAAAAUAUUUUGGAAUGCACGGUACACAGUAAGGGUAAGUUUCACUUUUUUAAAAAACAAAUUGUUUGUUGGCUGGGUGCUGUGGCUCAUGGAGGUCAAGGUGGCUUUGGGAGGUCAAGACAGGAGGAUCACUUAAGGCUAGGAGUUCAAGAUCAGCUUGGUCAUCAGAGUGAGACUCCAUCUCUAUAAAAAAUAUUUUUAAAUUAGCUAGGCAUGAUGGUGUUUGCCUAUGGUCCCAGCCAGUUGGGAGGCUGAGGUGGGAGGACUGCCUGAGUCCAGGAACUGGAGGCUGCAGCAAGCAAUGAUCACAUCAGUGUACUCCAGCCUGGAUGACAGUGGUUCCGCCUCUUAAAAAAAAAAAUCUUUUGUUGUCAGCCAUGGUAGUAUAUGCCUCUAGUCCCAGCUACUUGGGAGACUGAGGCAGAAGGGUCACUUAAGCCCAGGAGUUCAAGUCCAGCCUGGGCAAAAUAGCAAGACCCCAUCUCUAAAAUCAAGCAAACAAAUCUUUUGUUCAUUUGUAUCCAUAUAUGUGUGUUCUGGGUCACAUUAUAAAAUAUAUUUUUUUCUUAUCAUAGCCAAACAUGUCUGUAAGCCAAUACUUGCCACCUUAUGGAGUAAACUUUACCUUAGAGGCAAUGGUAAAAAAGGUUUCAGGCUAGAAAAUGGUAAAAUCAGAUUUGUGUGUUUAUGUAAGAGAGACAGAGAGAGUAAGAGAGUGUGUAUGUGUGUCUGGUAUGUUGUAUUUAUUUUUACAUUUGUGUUUUGGAAAGAUUACUCAUGCAGAAAAGUUGAGAAAAGAUUAGAGGGGGACAAGACUGGAGCCAGGAAUCCAUAUAAUUGACUAUUGUUUAAUUGAGGCAAGAGAAGAUGAUUAGCAUGGUAUUGGAAGUGGCUAUAGGAAUGGAGGGUUGAAUUGACAGGAUUUGGUAACUGAUGAGCUGUGGCAAUGAUGACAGAGAAAGCAUCAAGGCUUGUGCUGGCCUUGGUCAGAUGGUAAUGCUAUUCACUAAAGCAAUGAAUACAGAAUAGAGCACAUCUAGGGAGGCGGAGUUAAGUUCAUUUCUGAAGAUGUUUCCGCUGAUCUGACGUGAAGCCAAUGGUUAGCAAAUACUUGGAUAUGCAGUCCUAGAUCCAAGAGGAGAGGUCCAGGCCAAAAAGUUAACUGAGGACUGAUCAUCACAGUGAUCAAUGAAGCUAUUGGCUCCAGAAAGAUGUAAAGAUAAAAUGAUCUGAAGGAUGAACAGAGAAAAAUGAGUCUGGUAGAGAAGACUGAAGGGGCUCCCAGAGGACAGGAGGAAAACUGGAGAAUGUGGCGUCUCAGAAGCAAUGAGAAAAAGUGUUUUAAAAUGUAAUGAGUGACUCAACAAUAAGAAAAUAAACAACCUGAUUUUAAAAUGACCAAAAGACCUGAAGAGACACCUCAAGAAAGAUAUAUAGAUGGCAAGUAAGCAUAUGAAAAGAUGCUCAUCAUCAUACGUUAUGGAAAUUCAAACAACAAUGAAACACCACUACACGCCUAUUAGAGUGGCAAAAAUCCAAAAUGCUGACACCACCAAAUGCUGACAAGGAUGUGGCACAACAGAGGCUCCAUUCAUUGCUGGCAGGAACACAAAAUAGCACAGCCACUUUGGAAGAGAGUUUUCUUACAAAACUAUCCUUGCUCUUACCAUACGACCCAGAAAUCGCGCUCCUUGGUAUUUACCCAAAUGAGUUAAAAAUUUAUGUCCACACAAAACCCUGCACGAGGAUGUUAUAGCAGCUUUAUUUACAACGGUCAAAACAUAGAAGCAACCAAGAUGUCAUCAGUAGGUGAAAGGAUAAAGUGUGGUACAUCCAGGCAAUGAAAUAUUAUUCAGCACUAAAAAGAAAUGGGCUCUCAAGUCAUGAAGAAACACGGAGGAAUCUUACUGCAUAUCACUAUUUGAAAAACACCAACCUGAAAAAGCUACAUGCUGUAUGUUUUCAGCCACAUGACAUUCUGGAAAAGGAAAAACUUGUGGAGACAGUGAAAGGAUCCGUGGCUGCAGGGGCUUAGGAAAAAUGGAUAAACAGACGAUUUCGGGAGCAGUGAAACAAUUCCAUACGACAUUAUAAUAGUGAAUACAUGUCACUCUACAUUUGUCAAAACCCAAAAAAUGUAUAACACUGAGAGAAAACCCUAAUGUAAGCGACGGACUUGGGGUGAUAAUGUGUCAGUGCAUGUUCAUUGAUUGUAACAAAUGUAUCACUCUGAUGGGGAACAUUGAUGGUGACAGGGGCCGGGAGGGGAGGUGGGUAGGACAGCACAGAGGGCACACGGAAACUGUGUACCUUUCACUCAAAUUUGCUGUAAAUCUAAAACUACUCUAAAAUGUAACCCUAAAGAGGCAGGGUGUGGUAGCUUACACUAGCAGUCCCAGCACUUUGGGAGGCCAAGAAGGAAGAUUGAUUGAGCUCAGGAGUUUAAGACCAGCCUGGACAACCCCAUCUCUAUCAAAAAUAAAUAAAUAAAUAAAUAAAUAAAUAAAUAAAUAAAUAAAUAAAUAACAAAAAUUAGGCAUAGUGGUACAUGCCUGUAGCUCCAGCUACUAGGGAGCCAAGGGAGGAUCACUUGAGCCUGGGAGGUCAAGCUGCAGUGAACCAUGAUGGUACCACUGCACUCUAACCUGGGCAACAGGGCAAGACCAAGGGAGGGAGGGAGGGAGGAAGGGAGGGAGGGGAGAAAGGAAGGAGAGGAAGAGGAAGGAGGGAGGGAGGGAGGGAGGGGAGAAAGGAAGGGGAGGAAGAGGAGAAAGGGGGGGAAGGAAGGAGAGGAAGAGGAGAGAGGGAGGGAGGGGAGAAAGGAAGGGGAGGAAGAGGAGGGAGGGAGGGAGAGAGGGAGGGAGGGAGGGGAGAAAGGAAGGGAAGGAAGAGGAGGGAGGGAGGGAGGGAGAAGAGUUAACCACCGCUGGGCAGUGAUUAAGAACAAGACUAAGGAUAGGGGGUUGAUCAAUAAUGAGAUCACUGGUGACUCUGGCCAGGGCAAUACUGAACCACUUCUCUGCUUCCUUUUAUAGUAAGCUGGAAAGAGUGUGUCUACUUCCUUUGUCUGUUUUCCUUCUAUUCCUUUUCUGUUGCAGCCACAUGAUUUAGGCUUUGCUCCUGUCCCUCUGCCAAAAGUGUACUUCAGAAUCAUUAAUGAUCUCGGAAGGCGAGCGAGGGAGGGAAUAAAAAAGAAACAAAAUCAUUAAUGAUCUCCACGUUUCUAAAUGCAGCAUUCAGUUCUCAGUCCUCUUACCUGACUUGGCAGCUCCUCACUCCCUCCUCCCUCCUCCCAGGAACAGUUUCUUCACUUGUCUGCUAGCAUAGCAGGUCUUUGGCUCACCCCACCAGCCACUCUUACGAUCCCUCCUCACCCGCCUCAUCUCUAAAUAUUGGUAUGUUCCAGAGUUUAAUCUGUGGACUUUUCUCUUCUCUGUAACCACUGUCUAGAAAGAGCGCUCACCUCAUGGGUUUAACUCCGAUCUGUAUACACGGAGGAUUCCAAAUACACAUCCCUAACCCAGAACUCUCUCCUAAAUGCAACGCUGAUGUCUAAUGUGCACCUCAAACUUGACAUGUCUGAAAGAUGUCUCUGACAUGAUUUAGCAUUAUCUUAUAUACUAUGAAGUCAUCAGUUCGAAGGAGACAAGUUAAAUCUACUCCAAGGUUCACCUCUUUAUCCUAAAAUGCAAUUUCCAUGGGCUCCCACUUGGUUGUUAACCCAGUGAACACAUGUUCUUCCUUAAAAUGAAAACAGAUGAUUAAGCAAAACUAUGUGACUUUCUGCAUUGUCUCUAAAAUGUUCCCUUCUUAUAUGCAAAUAAAUGUUGAUAAAAUAUUGCUAAUUCUGGGUAUCUAGUAUCUAUUUUCAAUGUUAAAUUUUUCCAAGACUUAGUUACCUUAUUACCCACUUAUUAAAGAAAUUUUUAAAAAUUUGAUUCUGGAGGACAAAGAGCACAGACAUAGGAAAUAAAGCGGUAGCAAGACUAAGAUGCAAAGCCUCCUUUCUCCUCAGCACUUAAAACCACACUGCAAUGAGAACCCGAUAAGGGGAAACGUCCUGAAAAAGGGUAGGGGGAAGACAGAAGUGAAACAAAAAAAUUUAUUUCGUUACUGCUAUGCCAUGGCCCUACUGAGUCUUUACAUACAUUAUCUCAUUUAAUCCUUAGGUACUAGCAGCCCUCACAAAACUCUCAGCCAAUUUAUAGAUGAGGAAACUAAAGCUCAGACAGACUUAGGGCCCAGAUUCAAACCCAGGUAGGGCUAUCUGAUGCCAGAACCUGUGUACUGUGCUCUGUUUCCACAGAACCUUGCCUCCUGGAGGCAUCAGGUCAGCAAGCUGGCGUUAAAGAAGGUUAUAAGUGGGCUCUUUACACUCCGUCACUAAAUUCUGCGAUAACUCAGUUGGUCUAACUUUCAUGAACCCAUUCAUAGCUGUGUGCUAGCGACUCUCUUACCUGUGGA